GACGAACGCUGGCGGCGUGCCUAAUACAUGCAAGUAGAACGCUGAAGAGAGGAGCUUGCUCUUCUUGGAUGAGUUGCGAACGGGUGAGUAACGCGUAGGUAACCUGCCUGGUAGCGGGGGAUAACUAUUGGAAACGAUAGCUAAUACCGCAUAAAAUGGAUUAUCGCAUGAUAAUGCAUUGAAAGGUGCAAAUGCAUCACUACCAGAUGGACCUGCGUUGUAUUAGCUAGUUGGUGGGGUAACGGCUCACCAAGGCGACGAUACAUAGCCGACCUGAGAGGGUGAUCGGCCACACUGGGACUGAGACACGGCCCAGACUCCUACGGGAGGCAGCAGUAGGGAAUCUUCGGCAAUGGACGGAAGUCUGACCGAGCAACGCCGCGUGAGUGAAGAAGGUUUUCGGAUCGUAAAGCUCUGUUGUAAGAGAAGAACGAGUGUGAGAGUGGAAAGUUCACACUGUGACGUAUCUACCAGAAAG
rnacentral:rRNA from 1 species